CGUGUAGGCGGUUUGGCAAGUCGAGUGUAAAUCCCACGGCUCAACCGUGGAACUGCGCUCGAAACUGCCUUACUUGAGUGCGGGAGAGGUGUGCGGAAUUCCUGGUGUAGCGGUGGAAUGCGUAGAUAUCAGGAAGAACACCGGUGGCGAAGGCGGCACACUGGCCCAGCACUGACGCUGAGGCGCGAAAGCGUGGGGAGCGAACG
rnacentral:rRNA from 1 species